ACGGGUGAGUAACACGUGGAUCAUCUACCUUUUAGUGGGGAAUACCCCUGGGAAACCGGGGAUAAUACCGCAUAAGCUCGUAAGAGGAAAGCCGAAAGGCGCUGAAAGAGGAGUCCGCGGCUGAUUAGCUAGUUGGUGAGGUAACGGCCCACCAAGGCGAAGAUCGGUAGCCGGCCUGAGAGGGCACACGGCCACACUGGCACUGAAACACGGGCCAGACUCCUACGGGAGGCAGCAGUGGGGAAUCUUGCACAAUGGGGGCAACCCUGAUGCAGCGACGCCGCGUGAGCGAUGAAGCCCUUCGGGGUGUAAAGCUCUUUCGGCAGGAACGAUAAUGACGGUACCUGCAGAAGAAGCUGCGGCUAACUACGUGCCAGCAGCCGCGG
rnacentral:rRNA from 1 species